GACGAACGCUAGCGACGUGCCUAAGAAAUGCAAGUCGAGCGAGGUUGAGGAGCUUGCUCCGAAAGCCUAGCGGCGAACGGUCGCGUAACACGUAAGCAACCUGCCCUGAAGUGGGGGAUAGCCCGCCGAAAGGCGGAUUAAUACCGCAUGUGAACACCUUAUCGCAUGUUUGGGUGUUUAAAGCAGCAAUGCGCUUCAGGAUGGGCUUGCGGCCUAUCAGCUAGUUGGUGGGGUAACGGCCUACCAAGGCGACGACGGGUAGCUGGUCUGAGAGGAUGGUCAGCCGGACUGGGACUGAGACACGGCCCAGACUCCUACGGGAGGCUG
rnacentral:rRNA from 1 species